ACCGUACCUGAUCACCUAAACAUUUUCCCAAGUUUCCUCCCUCUCCGCGCCUUCGUUCCCUCUUUUCUCAAGCCCUACCCUAGUUGCGUCUUUAUCCCUUUUUCUUUGGCUCUAGAUCUAGUCUAAUUUUUCAGCAAGCCCUAUUCGUUCCCCGCAUCACAUCGUUUGUGGGCUUCACUUCACAGGUUUUCUCUCCUUUAAAUUCCUAACUAUUUUUCCUUCAUCUCCUUCAAAUCCCUUUUCCGUCCAUCUUCCGAUAAUGUAGAAAAGAGUUCGAAAACCUAGCCAGCAUGAAAAAGGGUUACGAAGGAAAGUUCUCUGUUUACGUGCAUGCAACCAAGACAAAACCAAUUCAUAUUGUAAAACAUCAUUCACAAGAAAUUGGACUUCAAAGACGAGUCUUUGUUGAUUUCUUCUGCAAUCCUGAGCGAUUAAGAAGCCAAGUCAGGGAACUGACUGCUCAGGUCAGAGCCUUGCAAAUUUCAUAGCAAUCCAAAUUGAUUUAACUUCCUAUGCCUGCGAACCAGUGGUCAAUUCCUAAUACCAUAGCAUUUCAGAGAAUCCUUGUUCCCCAUUAGACCUCAAUUUAAAGGGCAAAUUCGGAGUGUUUUCAGAAUUAUUCAUACAUUAUUCGUUUUUGUUUUCUUGUAUCCUUCACCAGAUAUUGUUCUUCCUCUGUUAACAAGGACUAGAAACUGGCAGUGUUAGGUUAUUUCUAAGUUUCUCUUAACCCAAGUGGCAAGAUGGUGUGCAUAACUUGGUCAUCCUUAUAAAUUGGGAUUCGACCAAUCAUAAGUUGCAAAUAAGAAAGGCAACACUUUCCAGAGGGAGAUUGGGAUCAUGAGCUUUCUUGAUCCCUGCUGCUUCAUCAAAUUUGUUGAAUAUUCUAGAGCUGAAAGAAGAAAUUCUUGGCCAAUGCAGAUUACCCAAGAUGCCACUGUUGAUUUCUGUGGCCACCCUGCACUUUCAUCCAAAACCGGAAAAUGGAAGGCUUGUGCUUUUCUUGUUGGGUAUGAAGCAUUUGAAAGGAAGGCCUUUUAUGGAGUGGCUUCAAAUUUGGUGAAUUACCUUACAAGCCAAAUUUUUGUUUAUGGUAUUAGAAGAAACGUGAAAGUGAUGGAACAAGGUAGUCCACUAGUCCACUAUUAUAUUAUUAUUGUAUGUUCACGAAAGAUUAGAGUAUCUGUCAUCAUCCUAUAAUGUCCAGCCACAAAGAAACAUAUAUACAUAUAUUCAAGAUAUGGACAUAUUUUUUUUA